rnacentral:rRNA from 1 species
UACAGAGGGGGCAAGCGUUGUUCGGAAUUACUGGGCGUAAAGGGCUCGUAGGCGGCCAACUAAGUCGGGUGUGAAAUCCCCAGGCUUAACCUGGGAACUGCAUUCGAGACUGCAUUGCUAGAGUAUGGGAGAGGGAAGUGGAAUUUCCGGUGUAGCGGUGAAAUGCGUAGAUAUCGGAAGGAACAUCAGUGGCGAAAGCGACUUCCUGGACCAAUACUGACGCUCAUGUGCGAAAGCGUGGGGAGCAAACAGG